CUGGGGAAGGUGGGGUUUUGGGGUGCCGCGGGUGACGGGGGUAGGCGGCUGUGCUGCAGUGGCGGUGUUCGUUACCAAAAGGUGGCAGUCUUACAUUUAGAUCAGUAAGUGUGUUGGAAGGAAUGUAGUCUUCCUCAGGCCAGAAAGAACAAUUCAGAGAGGCGGGGGGAAAAGCGGGAAUAAAACUUUCCUCCUUGGAGAAAAGAAGCAGAAGUGCAAAACGUUGGGAUAAUUAAAUGCAUUUGUCUUGGAAGGAUUCAAGAACGAUGGAGUGUUACAGUAGAGUAGCCUUGCAGUCCUUGCUCUGCAGAGAAGACUGAAGACUCAUCCUCAGGCACUGUGAGUCAGAAUACUACAGGAGCGCCCUCUCUCCCUUGCUGUUGCUUCAGCAUUGCAGAUUAUUCCCUCAUUCACCAACACUGUAGGCUAAUCAAAGAGAUUAUUUUUAGAGAAUUUUGCUAGAGACUUGACUCAGUGGUUGACAAAAAUACAUACUAGAAUCUUACUAUAUUUUUCCAAGUCUUACCACAGCAUCUUGAAUUUUGAUCAGUUUUUCUUUUUGAUGGGAUCGGUUUAAACUAGUGCUUGUUCAGUGAUCUCAUGAGCACCCCUACACGGUCAAUGCAUGAAUUAUGUAACUUUAAAGUCCUCUUCUGUGCUAACUUUAGAAGACUUUUUAAAUAAGGUGUUUUUUCCUGUGAAAAAGAACAGGGAAUGUCCAAAAUUACUUAAUGCAUCUCUGCAGUUGUUAGUACACUGUCAGGGCUUCUUAUGUUUGUGCAAUUAACACACACAGUUACUCUCUGGGUAGCUCUUGGUUUUUUAAGAUUGGGCUGAGCCAAAAGAACAGUUAACUAGUUAGUAGAUGAGGGGUGUGGGGGGUGAACCCCAGCAGCUGCAUGUGGGAUUGUUUUUGGAGGACAAUGGCCACGUUGGACAAGAGCAAGACUUUGGCUACAUCGCAAUACAGUAGGCCACAACCUUGAAGAGCCCUUGAGGAUGAGAAAAGAGGAAGAAGAACUGACAGUGCUGCACAGCUAGGGAAUGAUGAGGACAUCUUGACCCUGGUUAGCCAGAAGUCUUGGGAGCAGCAAACAGGAAUGUAGAAAAACA